CCUACGGGAGGCAGCAGUCGAGAAUCAUUCACAAUGGGGGAAACCCUGAUGGUGCGACGCCGCGUGGGGGAAUGAAGGUCUUCGGAUUGUAAACCCCUGUCAUGUGGGAGCAAAUUAAAAAGAUAGUACCACAAGAGGAAGAGACGGCUAACUCUGUGCCAGCAGCCGCGGUAAUACAGAGGUCUCAAGCGUUGUUCGGAAUCACUGGGCGUAAAGCGUGCGUAGGCUGUUUCGUAAGUCGGGUGUGAAAGGUGCGGGCUCAACCCGCGGACGGCACAUGAUACUGCGAGACUAGAGUAAUGGAGGGGGAACCGGAAUUCUCGGUGUAGCAGUGAAAUGCGUAGAUAUCGAGAGGAACACUCGUGGCGAAGGCGGGUUCCUGGACAUUAACUGACGCUGAGGCACGAAGGCCAGGGGAGCGAAAGGGAUUAGAUACCCGAGUAGUC
rnacentral:rRNA from 1 species